rnacentral:tRNA from 1 species
GCCUGGGUGGCUCAGUCGGUUGAGCGUCCGACUUCGGCUCGGGUCAUGAUCUUGCGGUUCGUGGGUUCGAACCCCGCGGCGGGUU